rnacentral:rRNA from 1 species
GGGUUGUGAGGUUAAGCGACUAAGCGUACACGGUGGAUGCCCUGGCAGUCAGAGGCGAUGAAGGACGUGCUAAUCUGCGAAAAGCGUCGGUAAGGUGAUAUGAACCGUUAUAACCGGCGAUGUCCGAAUGGGGAAACCCAGUGCAAUUCGUUGCACUAUCGUUAACUGAAUACAUAGGUUAACGAGGCGAACCGGGGGAACUGAAACAUCUAAGUACCCCGAGGAAAAGAAAUCAACCGAGAUUCCCCCAGUAGCGGCGAGCGAACGGGGAGCAGCCCAGAGUCUGAAUCAGCUUGUGUGUUAGUGGAACGGUCUGGAAAGUCCGACGGUACAGGGUGAUAGUCCCGUACACCAAAAUGCACAGGUUGUGAACUCGAAGAGUAGGGCGGGACACGUGGUAUCCUGUCUGAAUAUGGGGGGACCAUCCUCCAAGGCUAAAUACUCCUGACUGACCGAUAGUGAACCAGUACCGUGAGGGAAAGGCGAAAAGAACCCCGGCGAGGGGAGUGAAAAAGAACCUGAAACCGUGUACGUACAAGCAGUGGGAGCACCUUCGGGUGUGACUGCGUACCUUUUGUAUAAUGGGUCAGCGACUUAUAUUCUGUAGCAAGGUUAACCGUAUAGGGGAGCCGCAGGGAAACCGAGUCUUAACUGGGCGUUAAGUUGCAGGGUAUAGACCCGAAACCCGGUGAUCUAGCCAUGGGCAGGUUGAAGGUUGGGUAACACUAACUGGAGGACCGAACCGACUAAUGUUGAAAAAUUAGCGGAUGACUUGUGGCUGGGGGUGAAAGGCCAAUCAAACCGGGAGAUAGCUGGUUCUCCCCGAAAGCUAUUUAGGUAGCGCCUCGUGAACUCAUCUUCGGGGGUAGAGCACUGUUUCGGCUAGGGGGUCAUCCCGACUUACCAACCCGAUGCAAACUACGAAUACCGAAGAAUGUUAUCACGGGAGACACACGGCGGGUGCUAACGUCCGUCGUGAAGAGGGAAACAACCCAGACCGCCAGCUAAGGUCCCAAAGUCAUGGUUAAGUGGGAAACGAUGUGGGAAGGCACAGACAGCCAGGAUGUUGGCUUAGAAGCAGCCAUCAUUUAAAGAAAGCGUAAUAGCUCACUGGUCGAGUCGGCCUGCGCGGAAGAUGUAACGGGGCUAAACCAUGCACCGAAGCUGCGGCAGCGACACUAUGUGUUGUUGGGUAGGGGAGCGUUCUGUAAGCCUGCGAAGGUGUGCUGUGAGGCAUGCUGGAGGUAUCAGAAGUGCGAAUGCUGACAUAAGUAACGAUAAAGCGGGUGAAAAGCCCGCUCGCCGGAAGACCAAGGGUUCCUGUCCAACGUUAAUCGGGGCAGGGUGAGUCGACCCCUAAGGCGAGGCCGAAAGGCGUAGUCGAUGGGAAACAGGUUAAUAUUCCUGUACUUGGUGUUACUGCGAAGGGGGGACGGAGAAGGCUAUGUUAGCCGGGCGACGGUUGUCCCGGUUUAAGCAUGUAGGCUGGUUGUCCAGGCAAAUCCGGAUAAUCAAGGCUGAGGUGUGAUGACGAGGCACUACGGUGCUGAAGUAACAAAUGCCCUGCUUCCAGGAAAAGCCUCUAAGCAUCAGGUAACAUCAAAUCGUACCCCAAACCGACACAGGUGGUCAGGUAGAGAAUACCAAGGCGCUUGAGAGAACUCGGGUGAAGGAACUAGGCAAAAUGGUGCCGUAACUUCGGGAGAAGGCACGCUGGUGUGUAGGUGAAGCCCCUGCGGGUGGAGCUGAGACCAGUCGAAGAUACCAGCUGGCUGCAACUGUUUAUUAAAAACACAGCACUGUGCAAACACGAAAGUGGACGUAUACGGUGUGACGCCUGCCCGGUGCCGGAAGGUUAAUUGAUGGGGUUAUCCGUAAGGAGAAGCUCUUGAUCGAAGCCCCGGUAAACGGCGGCCGUAACUAUAACGGUCCUAAGGUAGCGAAAUUCCUUGUCGGGUAAGUUCCGACCUGCACGAAUGGCGUAAUGAUGGCCAGGCUGUCUCCACCCGAGACUCAGUGAAAUUGAACUCGCUGUGAAGAUGCAGUGUACCCGCGGCAAGACGGAAAGACCCCGUGAACCUUUACUAUAGCUUGACACUGAACAUUGAGCCUUGAUGUGUAGGAUAGGUGGGAGGCUUUGAAGCGUGGACGCCAGUCUGCGUGGAGCCAACCUUGAAAUACCACCCUUUAAUGUUUGAUGUUCUAACGUUGGCCCCUGACCGGGGUUGCGGACAGUGUCUGGUGGGUAGUUUGACUGGGGCGGUCUCCUCCCAAAGCGUAACGGAGGAGCACGAAGGUUAGCUAAUCCUGGUCGGACAUCAGGAGGUUAGUGCAAUGGCAUAAGCUAGCUUGACUGCGAGCGUGACGGCGCGAGCAGGUGCGAAAGCAGGUCAUAGUGAUCCGGUGGUUCUGAAUGGAAGGGCCAUCGCUCAACGGAUAAAAGGUACUCCGGGGAUAACAGGCUGAUACCGCCCAAGAGUUCAUAUCGACGGCGGUGUUUGGCACCUCGAUGUCGGCUCAUCACAUCCUGGGGCUGAAGUAGGUCCCAAGGGUAUGGCUGUUCGCCAUUUAAAGUGGUACGCGAGCUGGGUUUAGAACGUCGUGAGACAGUUCGGUCCCUAUCUGCCGUGGGCGCUGGAGAAUUGAGGGGGGCUGCUCCUAGUACGAGAGGACCGGAGUGGACGCAUCACUGGUGUUCGGGUUGUCAUGCCAAUGGCACUGCCCGGUAGCUAAAUGCGGAAGAGAUAAGUGCUGAAAGCAUCUAAGCACGAAACUUGCCCCGAGAUGAGUUCUCCCUGAGACUUUAAGUCUCCUGAAGGAACGUUAAAGACGAUGACGUUGAUAGGCCGGGUGUGUAAGCGCAGCGAUGCGUUGAGCUAACCGGUACUAAUGAACCGUGAGGCUUAACCUUACAACGCCGAAG